rnacentral:tmRNA from 1 species
GGGGCUGAUUCUGGAUUCGACGGGAUUUGCGAAACCCAAGGUGCAUGCCGAGGGGCGGUUGGCCUCGUAAAAAGCCGCAAAAAAAUAGUCGCAAACGACGAAAACUACGCUUUAGCAGCUUAAUAACCUGCUUAGAGCCCUCUCUCCCUAGCCUCCGCUCUUAGGACGGGGAUCAAGAGAGGUCAAACCCAAAAGAGAUCGCGUGGAAGCCCUGCCUGGGGUUGAAGCGUUAAAACUAAUCAGGCUAGUCUGGUAGUGGCGUGUCCGUCCGCAGGUGCCAGGCGAAUGUAAAGACGAACUAAGCAUGUAGUACCGAGGAUGUAGGAAUUUCGGACGCGGGUUCAACUCCCGCCAGCUCCACCA